rnacentral:rRNA from 1 species
GGACACGAGAAAUCCUGUCUGAAGAUGGGGGGGACCAUCCUCCAAGGCUAAAUACUCGUAAUCGACCGAUAGUGAACAAGUACCGUGAGGGAAAGGCGAAAAGAACCCCGGGAGGGGAGUGAAAUAGAUCCUGAAACCGCAUGCAUACAAAAAGUCGGAGCCUGGAAACGGGUGACGGCGUACCUUUUGUAUAAUGGGUCAGCGACUUACAUUCAGUGGCAAGGUUAACCGAAUAGGGUAGCCGAAGAGAAAUCGAGUCCGAAUAGGGCGUCUAGUCGCUGGGUGUAGACCCGAAACCAAGUGAUCUAUCCAUGGCCAGGAUGAAGGUGCGGUAACACGCACUGGAGGUCCGAACCGACUAAUGUUGCAAAAUUAGCGGAUGAGCUGUGGAUAGGGGUGAAAGGCUAAAACAAACUUGGAAAUAGCUGGUUCUCUCCGAAAACUAUUUAGGUAGUGCCUCAAGUAUUACCAUCGGGGGUAGAGCACUGUUAUGGCUAGGGGGUCAGUGGCGACUUACCAAACCAUUGCAAACUCCGAAUACCGAUGAGUACAG